rnacentral:piRNA from 1 species
AGGCGGAAUCUACGAGUGGAGUCCUGGG